rnacentral:rRNA from 1 species
GACGAACGCUGGCGGCGUGCUUAACACAUGCAAGUCGAACGGAAAGGCCCUGCUUUUGUGGGGUGCUCGAGUGGCGAACGGGUGAGUAACACGUGAGUAACCUGCCCUUGACUUUGGGAUAACUUCAGGAAACUGGGGCUAAUACCGGAUAGGAGCUCCUGCUGCAUGGUGGGGGUUGGAAAGUUUCGGCGGUUGGGGAUGGACUCGCGGCUUAUCAGCUUGUUGGUGGGGUAGUGGCUUACCAAGGCUUUGACGGGUAGCCGGCCUGAGAGGGUGACCGGCCACAUUGGGACUGAGAUACGGCCCAGACUCCUACGGGAGGCAGCAGUGGGGAAUAUUGCACAAUGGGCGGAAGCCUGAUGCAGCAACGCCGCGUGCGGGAUGACGGCCUUCGGGUUGUAAACCGCUUUCGCCUGUGACGAAGCGUGAGUGACGGUAAUGGGUAAAGAAGCACCGGCUAACUACGUGCCAGCAGCCGCGGUGAUACGUAGGGUGCGAGCGUUGUCCGGAUUUAUUGGGCGUAAAGGGCUCGUAGGUGGUUGAUCGCGUCGGAAGUGUAAUCUUGGGGCUUAACCCUGAGCGUGCUUUCGAUACGGGUUGACUUGAGGAAGGUAGGGGAGAAUGAAAUUCCUGGUGGAGCGGUGGAAUGCGCAGAUAUCAGGAGGAACACCAGUGGCGAAGGCGGUUCUCUGGGCCUUUCCUGACGCUGAGGAGCGAAAGCGUGGGGAGCGAACAGGCUUAGAUACCCUGGUAGUCCACGCUGUAAACGGUGGGUACUAGGUGUGGGGUCCAUUCCACGGGUUCCGUGCCGUAGCUAACGCUUUAAGUACCCCGCCUGGGGGGUACGGCCGCAAGGCUAAAACUCAAAGGAAUUGACGGGGCCCCGCACAAGCGGCGGAGCAUGCGGAUUAAUUCGAUGCAACGCGUAGAACCUUACCUGGGUUUGACAUGGAUCGGGAGUGCUCAGAGAUGGGUGUGCCUCUUUUGGGGUCGGUUCACAGGUGGUGCAUGCCUGUCGUCAGCUCGUGUCGUGAGAUGUUGGGUUAAGUCCCGCAACGAGCGCAACCCUUGUUCACUGUUGCCAGCACGUUAUGGUGGGGACUCAGUGGAGACCGCCGGGGCCAACUCGGAGGAAGGUGGGGAUGACGUCAAGUCAUCAUGCCCCUUAUGUCCAGGGCUUCACGCAUGCUACAAUGGCUGGUACAGAGAGUGGCGAGCCUGUGAGGGUGAGCGAAUCUCGGAAAGCCGGUCUCAGUUCGGAUUGGGGUCUGCAACUCGACCUCAUGAAGUCGGAGUCGCUAGUAAUCGCAGAUCAGCAACGCUGCGGUGAAUACGUUCCCGGG